GGCGGUCUGCUGAGUCAAUACAUCUCUGUGUUCCCCGGCAGCUGCAGAAAUACCUGUUCAGCUUAGCUAAUCAGAUCGAGGGAGGGGGCAUGUGUCUUUCCUUUCUGGUAAAAGCAGUCAAGUCCAUUAUUUAUCAGUAAGCGGGGUUUUUUUUGUGGUUGUUGUUGUUUUUGAAUUCUUUGGAUCAUUUAUGGGGUAAAACAUUACGCUUGUCUGAAAUGGUUAUCUUUUGUGCAUUUUGCGUAUCCGUCACUGAUCCGGGACUAUCACAGACAGGAGACCAAGGAAGGGAGAGAACACUCCAAGGGCUUUGUGUGGGUUUUCCAGGAAGUUAGAGAAUGGCUUGACUGUCAAGAUAACACACGGAAAUAUUCAGCCAUUCUUCACUGAUGAGGUGGGGAUGAGAAUCUCGGCGCCUCCGACACCAAGUCAUUUUCUUAUGGUCGUUUUAGCUUUCCUUAAGGGAUAUCACGCAGGUAUCGUUAAGUCGAAGGAAAAUCGAUAGCAACCACGGUGACUUGAAGU
rnacentral:lncRNA from 1 species